UACGUAGGGGGGCAAGCGUUUGUCCGGAAUUAUUGGGCGUAAAGAGCGCGUAGGCGGUCCGGUAAGUCAGCUGUGAAAGUCAAGGGCUCAACCCUUGAAAGCCGGUUGAUACUGUCGGGCUAGAGUCCGGAAGAGGCGAGUGGAAUUCCCGGUGUAGCGGUGAAAUGCGCAGAUAUCGGGAGGAACACCAAUGGCGAAGGCAGCUCGCUGGGACGGUACUGACGCUGAGGCGCGAAAGCGUGGGGAGCAAACAGG
rnacentral:rRNA from 1 species